UACGAAGGGGGCUAGCGUUGUUCGGAAUUACUGGGCGUAAAGCGUAUGCAGGCGGAUCGUUAAGUCGGGGGUGAAAUCCCGAGGCUCAACCUCGGAACUGCCUUCGAUACUGGCGAUCUUGAGUCCGGGAGAGGUGAGCGGAACUCCGAGUGUAGAGGUGAAAUUCGUAGAUAUUCGGAAGAACACCAGUGGCGAAGGCGGCUCACUGGCCCGGUACUGACGCUGAGAUACGAAAGCGUGGGGAGCAAACAGG
rnacentral:rRNA from 1 species